GCGUGCUCAGCACCCCGAGGGCAUUCGAGGCGCAUCCGAGCCCCUCUCGGUCGCCAGCCUAUUCCUGCUUCUCUGUGAACGCUCUAAAGAACCUACUCCACUCCCCUCCAUCCUAGCUACCUCUCGGGCCUCCCCGCUUGUCCACCCAUGACCUUCUCCUCCUCCCACGACCAACAUUGCCGCAGCUCGGCUUCACUCAAGCCCGAGCUAACCGGCCCUCCCUAGCCUCAACCAAGAACUUUAGAAGGACUCCGUUGAUGGGAGCAACUCCCCAGGAAUCCCCAGACUCCAUCCUCGAGGCCUUGUCGUGCUCCCCAGCAACGACCAAUGCUUUUGUCCGCCCCUCCCAACGAGCUACUUACUCAUGGCUGUCCCUGCGACCAACGAGGCAAGGAGCGGGGCAUCCACCCACGCCCCCAACUCUGUGCUUGGUGCGGAGAAGUGGCUGGAGCCACGACGGCCAGCAUCCCGUCCGCCUCCUGUCAGGAGGUAGGUGAAGGGGGCAGGAGAGAGGUGGAGAGGGACCGGCGGGGCCCGCUUGUAAGAGACCCUAACGAUUGGGCCCGCGUGUAAGUGGACGCGAUUUUCGCGUUUUGUGCCUCCCCACGAAGCAGGCGUAUUCCUAGGAAUGCACCUCCAACAUGGCCCUUCCCGCGCUUGGCCAAGCUACUGGCCGACCCAAUGCAUACGCGGCUAUUCUGUGCCCAGGGCGCUCCUUCGGCCGUUAGUUGAUGAGGUAGACGGAGUGCUCGGAGUUGGAACAGAAGCGUGUGAAGACCUCAAAGACUUUGAUGAGCCACGCAAACAAGCCUUUGACCAUGACUAUGAAACCAUUUUAUGCACGACCUAUAGCACUUUAAUCCGUUGCAUUGAAUCAUGAUGAAUUGGUGACCACCAUGGUGGGCUACCUCAGCUACAUUUCUCGUCGAUACUUGCACUAAGCAUGACCCUACCUUCUUAUGAGGGUUAUGCAGGUGGGAAGUAGAUAGGAUGCUAGUAGUUGCUACGCAAGUUGGAUGGUAAGAUGCAUGGCGUUGCAAAAAGAAAUGAUUUCAAAGACUUUUCGAACACCCCAUCGGGUGCCACUAAUGCCCGAGGGAGAUGGUGUUGAGCUAGGUAACCACUUCAGAAAUAAUUGGUGUACCAAGGCAACUGACUGUGUUGUUUCCGAAAACAGAUUGGCUUAAGUUUCGACCGUUA